AUUGGACGCUGGCGGCAGGCCUAACACAUGCAAGUCGAGCGGAUGAAGGGAGCUUGCUCCUGGACUCAGCGGCGGACGGGUGAGUAAUGCCUAGGAAUCUGCCUGGUAGUGGGGGAUAACGUCCGGAAACGGGCGCUAAUACCGCAUACGUCCUGAGGGAGAAAGUGGGGGAUCUUCGGACCUCACGCUAUCAGAUGAGCCUAGGUCGGAUUAGCUAGUUGGUGGGGUAAAGGCCUACCAAGGCGACGAUCCGUAACUGGUCUGAGAGGAUGAUCAGUCACACUGGAACUGAGACACGGUCCAGACUCCUACGGGAGGCAGCAGUGGGGAAUAUUGGACAAUGGGCGAAAGCCUGAUCCAGCCAUGCCGCGUGUGUGAAGAAGGUCUUCGGAUUGUAAAGCACUUUAAGUUGGGAGGAAGGGCAGUAAGUUAAUACCUUGCUGUUUUGACGUUACCAACAGAAUAAGCACCGGCUAACUUCGUG
rnacentral:rRNA from 1 species